rnacentral:lncRNA from 10 species
GAGUUUCUCUCUUGUCGCCCAGGCUGGAGUGCAAUGGCACAAUCUUGGCUCACCGCAACCUUCCGCCUCCUGGCUUCAAGCAAUUCUCCUGCCUCAGCCUCCCAAGUAGCUGGGACUAUAGGCAUGCACCACCACGCCCGGCUAAUUUUGUAUUUUUAGUAGAGAUGGGGUUUCUGCAUGUUGGUCAGACUGGUCUUGAACUCCCAACCUCAGGUGAUCCGCCUGCCUCAGCCUCCCAAAGUGCUGGGAUUACAGGAGUGAGCCACCACGCCCGGCCU